rnacentral:rRNA from 1 species
GAUGGGUUACACUCGCUACAUAGAAACGGAAUAUAUAGUUAAAUCAUAUGUAAAGGAGGACUUGGUUGUAAUUAAAUUUCAAAAUAAAAUGAAGGUGAAUUUAAGACAUGCACACAUCGCCCGUCACUCUCUCCCCAAGGAGAGAUAAGUCGUAACAAAGUAGGUGUAACGGAAGUUGUACCUGU